rnacentral:tRNA from 1 species
GGAAGGAUGGCCGAGUGGUUUAAGGCAACGGUCUUGAAAACCGUCGAGUGUAACAGCUCCCAGAGUUCGAAUCUCUGUCUUCCGCCA